GUCAUUCCUUUGUAUAUCUUAUAAUAAGAUAGUGAGAUUUCUGCAAUUUAUGAUAUUAGGUUUGGGAAGAGUUAUUGUUUCAAUUACGUUCAAUUAGUAUGCAUUACCAGAUUGCAAUCUGUUUCACAAGAAAUUCCCUUAUUGUUGUGUUACAAGCCAGCAUAUAGGAUAUGUAAGAUUGUUGCAAUUUAGGAUUUAAGGUUUGGGCAGAGUUAGGGUUUUCUGGAUUUGUCAAUUUCUAGGGUUCAUCUUAUCAAGCAUAUCUUCCAGUUUCUCACUUUACCGACGUUUCUCUUUUUCUGCUGCUACUGUUCUUCUCCUCUCUCUCUCUCGCAGAUACUCUAGAUGUUUGAAAAUCUGUUUUGGUUCCUGCGGUUUGUGUGCUUGCUGUUUUCCUGAGAUUCAGGAGCAAGGUUUAAUCAAAAAUAAGGUGCAGAGAAAAGGAAUUAGAAGGAAAUUUUUUAAUCAAAAAUAUGGUGCAGAGGAAAGGAAUUAGAAGGUAAACAUGUUGAAAUCCUAGAAUUUUUGAAUCUGUAUUUGUUUAUUUUUCCUCUUUUUGACUGAUGUUGCUUUUUGCAGGAAAUUUAAGAGGAAAAGUUUAUUUUUUCUGAAGUACCUGUUUGUGUUGAGUUACUGAUGCCCCGUAUUUAAUUUUGUCUCUUCAUAUUGAUUUCCAAUUGAUGUUGAAUAACUCAGCAGUGGUAUAUGUUUCCAGUAAAUUUAAGAGGCAAAGAUUCGUAAUGCGUAGGAAAGCAUGUGAACAUGUGGAAACCCUACAAGUUUUAAAUCUGUAAAAAAAAUUAUCCACUUUUUGUUCGGCGUAGGCAGAUUGACCCGACUUUUUCUUUUUAUCUUCGUUACUCCUUGGUGCUUACUUAUCAGACAUUGCUAGCAAGGUACACCAAUCCUCAUUCUUAUUCUUAAGAAUUGCAAUUGACUGGUAAUAUAAAUUUUUUUUCGCUUUACGUGAAAUCCAUACGAAACAAGAAAAUACCUUUUAUUUACUAAGAUUUAACUGUUUUGUUAGCAUGUGUAUAUAGAUACGAAUGAAUGAUAAACUGUUCAAUAUCUUUAAUGUCUUGGUGCCACUGCGAUUUUUAGUUCACAUAUAUUGUUGUAUGUAAUUGGAAAUAGGAAUGCCAUAGUAGGAGAUCACUAAUUAUGUGUUGUGUAUUCCCUUAGCUUUAUUACAAAUAUGAAUUCACCGAAACUGGAGACAUAUCUAAGAGAAAUAGAACAAUCUGAGAAGUAGAAAUUGGGAAUGCCAUAUGGUAUAUGAAUGAUGAUUUACUUCUCUUGCUGUUGCAGCCUAUAAGAAUUCAUCAAUUGUACUCUGUAUUUUUGGUGGGGUUUUUCCUCCAUCACUUCAUUUAACUAUUUUCUAUACACAAAGCGUUUUGUGGUGAAGGUGAUCUUAGUGACCAUAUAUGUCUUAGGAUUAAAGCUGUCCAUAUGUGUACAGUGCGGCAAGUCAGCGGAAAUAGUGCAGAGUUAGGCUAUGAUUACAUGCAGAUACAUGUAAAUCCAUAUUUCUCCAAGUUCAUUGCCAGCUGUUCAAUACAGUGCCGAAUUAGACUAUAAUUACAGGCAAGUAGGGUGGGUGAUGCUUUAAAAAGACCAGGGCCGCACAGAUAUUUUCAUAUGUUUUUGGUCGUUGGAUGCAGAUCUGUGUCAGAUAAAAUCCGUUUUCUCUUUCCACCUCUAUUUUUUUUCUUCUUUUUUUGAUAGGGAAGACAGAGCGAAAGAUGGUUCCCUCCUACCCUAACAGUGGCAAUUGUCUGUGAAGAUUAGAGAUGUGAAGAUUAGAUGUGGCAAAGCAUAUAAUAAAGAUUGUAGAGACUCAAGCAGAGACCAAACUCAUGUUUUGCACCACUAUUAUUAGAGCACCAUGCACGAUAUACCCCACAUUGAAUGACUACAAUGAUAUGUCUUAUUGUCUUUCACUCCAAGAUCAGGCCAAUGUUUAUUUUAUCUUCCUGAAAUGUUUUUGACUUCUCUUUUGCUCAUAUAUGCUUUGUUUAAAUGGUUUAUAGGAUAUUUUCCUUGGUUUCUGCACAUCAUCAAAUAUCAUAUUUAGGCUCAUGUAAUAUUUGUGCAGAUUUGCAUUCUUUCAAUUUCAGAGUAUGUUUAAAGAUGACCAAAUUGAUUAAAGAUGUGGAAGCUUGGCGUGAAGAGAGAGGGUCCAGAGGGUGUAUCAGUAGCAGCAAUAGUAAUGUCCAGCAAUCAAAAUAAUAAAGUUUGGCAAGUAGCACAGUUGUAUAAGUUGCAUUCCAAAAUUUUGGUGGAUCAAAGAUGUGUAAGUUUCCCUAAACUGAGCACUUGAAUCUUUUGUUUAUAUGCUUCUUCUACUGUAUAGCAGUUUUGGGUUCUCUAAGAAUGCGCCUUCACACUAAUUAUCCUUAUUACUUCGAUAACAACGUUUCUUAUUGAUCAAAUUGAAGUUUUUUCUCUAUAAUUUAAGUCAGUAUAAACACUCUUGAAUAAUCUGUUGGCACAUUUUAUGUGCUCAGCUGAUGCUUUAUAAAGUUAAUAUUAUUCCUAAUAGGAAGUUGAAUUAACUCUGGGAAGCAUCAGCUGAGCAUGGAUGAGUAAGAAUAAUGAAGACUCCGAGGUGGAAAUCACGUUUACAGUGAAUAUUAUUCCUAAUAAAAACUCAUCCCUCAAAAUGUUUGAAAAUGUGCUGACUACUCUCUUUGCUUGGCGCAGAUAAACUCAUCCCUCAAAACGUUUACAGUGAAUAUCACUUAUAAAUAGAUAUAUAUUUUGUGCAAUAUAUGGUGGCCUAGGAUACUCUAUUUCGAUGAAGUAAUUGCCAUAAAUGAAUGUAUAUUUUGCAUAAGCACUUCGUGUGCAAGAUCUUUUUGGACAAGUUGGCUCUUAAAGCUAUUAAACUUCUUAGAUGUGUUUUUCCAAGUUAGUUUUGCUAACUUCUGUUGCAUAGUGGAAUUGAACCAUAACAGUUGCUUAAUGGAAUUGAACCAUAAUAGUGUAAAACAAUAUUGUACCACUAAUGUUAAGUGGUAUAACUUUAAUUUGUCGUUAACUUGGAAAGGACCUAUUGCAAUUUGAAGUGCGGUGCACAUCUUUAUACUUAAAUAUUUGCUUAUUUAAUGGCUGCCAGACGAUGGACAAAUGCUUAGAAAGGAUACUGUUAACUAAUUACGCAGCAUUAAUUAGUCCUUAGCUAAUGAAUCAGUGUAAAAGAUUUAGUUCUUAAACUAAAUCUUUUAUCUUAAUCCAAAAGUUGUGGUAAAGAAGAGGGCGGUGCUUGCAGGUGGAUAUGUGGUUAUUUAGGUGUUCGGUUAUAAGACUUGCUGUCAUUAAUUGUUUAUGCUAGCGAUCUGGCUACAUAUAUGCUAAAGAACCAAAGAUGUAAAGAACAUUUUGGCAACGUAUGAUCCAUGCUUCAAUUUUAUUUUGCACACUCAGUUUCUUCCGAAAUUUGGUAGCAGUUUCAUUCUUGAUUAUUUGGGCCAUCCAUAAUGGCUCGGCAACUAUGACCUGACUAACUAAUUUAUUAUUAGUCACAAAUUGGUUUAUUUCAUCCCUUUAUACUAUAUUAUGAUCGCUAAUUUUGUUCUGAUUAUCCGAUUUGUUGUAUUUUAUGCAAGUUGCAUAUUAAAAGCAAGCAAUCCAACACCACCACCACUAAUUGCAGGGUCUUACAUGGAUAGAACAUAAUUAAUGAAGUAGCAAGAAGAGAAGAGACCUUCUUGAGGCUGUAAAGGUUGAAAGUCGUCACUCUACGGUUUUUGUUUGUAACAUUGAUUCUAAAUCUCGCGACUUUGAUAAUCCAUUGUAAAAAUCACCCUUAUUGUUCUUCUUUGUUAAUUCAGAAUUCUAUUUGGUAUUUUUCUUUGAUCCAAUUAGUGCCGGUUAUGCUUCC